UCUAUGCAUACAUGAUUAAGUCGCUUUGGAUAAAAGUGUCUGCUAAAUGGUAUAAU
rfam:Salmo salar isolate Sally breed double haploid chromosome ssa04, whole genome shotgun sequence.